UAAUAAAACAUUUAUUUAUGUUUUCCAAUCACAGGACAGUAACACCCAAACAUAUACUUAAGUAUAUUUCGUAAUUACUUAACCUACUAAAAUUAAGUAUCAAAAUAAUAUAAAUAAAAACUUGUAUAAUAAAAUUAACCUAUAGUAAUGGCGUUUACAUGAAUAUGAUUAUGCUUUUACAGUUCUAGUUUAAUUGUAACCGGUUAUGGUCAGUUGUAACCAGUUAUGGAUAUUGUCAAUUAUAGGUAACUUUCCACGGUAUGUAUUGUCUUGUUAAGCACAUAACAAGUUCUAGGACAAACUUAGGACAAACGAUAAAAAUACCAUCUUUUCACAACUCUUUUUAGUCGUUUUUUUGUCUUCCAUAUUUAUUUCAGUCUAGGUAAUUAAGGGAUUUAAAUUUGGCUUUAUUUUGGCACAUUGUUUGUUCUAUACCUAAAUAGAGAAAUAUUUAAACAGUUAUGGUACAUUUCAGAUUACAAUUUACUGUAUGUUAUAAACACUUUUUCAGAGUAAAGUCCCAUAAAUUUAAGAGUAUUUUUUGUCGAUGUAUGAAGACUAUUAUUAUUUCAACAUGGAGCAGGUACUAGAUAUUUGCCUUUACUUUUCUCAUGCCUAAUAUUCUUAACUCAAUUAAAUUGCGGUUAUUAAAAAAACAGCUGUCUAUAUCUAAUACAUAAUAACGUGAGGAAGGUGACCAUUACUGGAAAUUAGAUAUACAGCCUGAUUCUAAUUUAAACAUACUUCAAAAAUAAGUUAUAAAUACGAUAUGCAUAGAACUUGUUUUUGACGUGUAUUGAAAUUAAAAUAGGAUCUUCAGACAGUUGUUUAGUUGAUAAUCGCCAUUUUUCACUCAAACAUUUUUAUGGUAAAAAGUUGAGAGUAGGGUCAGUAAUUCCACCAUUAUUUUCUGACUUUUUAGUAACCUGCAAUAAUUUACGAUAUUGAUAAAUAAGGGUUAUGUAAUCAAUUUUACUAUGGAACCGAUCGCGAAAAAAAUUGGCUGUUUUUUUUUAAAUUUUACUUACAUAAUCCACGGACUGGUCGUUUUUGUAA